rnacentral:rRNA from 1 species
GAUGAACGCUGGCUACAGGCUUAACACAUGCAAGUCGAGGGGAAACGACGGGGAAGCUUGCUUCCCCGGGCGUCGACCGGCGCACGGGUGAGUAACGCGUAUCCAACCUGCCUCUGACUGAGGGAUAACCCGUCGAAAGUCGGCCUAAUACCUCAUGGUAUCGUCUGCGGGCAUCCAACGACGAUUAAAGAUUUCAUCGGUCAGGGAUGGGGAUGUGUCUGAUUAGCUUGUUGGCGGGGUAACGGCCCACCAAGGCUACGAUCAGUAGGGGUUCUGAGAGGAAGGUCCCCCACAUUGGAACUGAGACCCGGUCCAAACUCCUACGGGAGGCAGCAGUGAGGAAUAUUGGUCAAUGGGCGAGAGCCUGAACCAGCCAAGUAGCGUGCAGGAAGACGGCCCUAUGGGUUGUAAACUGCUUUUAUGCGGGGAUAAAGUGAGGGACGUGUCCCUCAUUGCAGGUACCGCAUGAAUAAGGACCGGCUAAUUCCGUG